AGGCAGCUGAUCGAUGUUUCUCUCUCAUCGAUGUUUCUGGCUCUCUAUCUCUUUCCCUUCCUCUCUGUAAAAAAUCAAUAAAAUAUAUUUUAAAAAAAAUAUUUAAAAAAAAAGAUUUUGCUCCCAGGUCUGCCAGGGAUUAGCCUAGCUCAGAAAGGUUGUCACUUGCCCAAGACUACACAGCUAGUUAGUAACAGCCAGAAUUUGAAUUUGUUCUAGACGAGUGCUCGGUUUUAUCUACUAGUCCUGGUAAACACUUGAUUCAGCAGGCACCUCUCCGCCUCGACUAUCUUUGCUUUGCUUUGCUUUGGUGGCUGGAGAGCUGAGAAAACAAGGAAACAAGAAUUGAGAUAAGGAAAUGUAGGCUCAGAGAGGUUAAGUAACUUUAACUUGCUCAAUGUCAUUCUGGAGUCAAAUCAGAUUCUGAAGCUGGGUCUACACACGUCUCAGAUAGCAGCAACCUCUGUGGCAGCUCCCAGCUUCUGGAAUCCAGAGCUGCAUUCCACUGGCUUCAUUCUCACUUCUACUUUAGAAGGCUGAGGGAGCAAAUAAAUGCCUUCUGUUUAUCAGCAGCAACAGGGCAGGGCUGCCUAGGAGCUUUGCAGGAGGUGGGGGACAAGGGAGGGUGAGAGUGUCGAAGGAGAGGCCUCACUAGGGCAGUUCCGCUUUAAUAUCUGUGUGUUGUUGUAUUUUAAUUUUAGGGUUGAGGGAGAUUUGAUUUGAGAAAUGGGUAUCAGUAAUAAAAAAAUUAAGUUGAAAAUCACCAAUCCUGUUUAUCGCUUUCAUUCUGAUGUGGAAAUUGGAUGCAGAGGCAACAGGGCCUGUCUGAUAUCACACAGUGAGUCAGGUACAGAGCUGGGCUUGAGCACGGGAUCUCCUGGCUUCUAGUCCAGUGCCAUACCCUGCACCACACAUGGUCAUUCUGUCACAACAGGUGCUGAAUCAAUAUGUGUGGGGUAGAAAAACAUCCCUGAGCAACAGAGUUGCAUCUCUGUUUGCAGAGCAAAAGCCAGGUGGAGGUUUGGGAGAUUUUCAUACACUUGGGAGGGCACUUCUCUCAAAUCAAGGGAGCUUGCAAGUCACUGCUUAAAUCCUGUCACACCUCACUGAAGUCAAGAGCAAGUCACCAUGGGACCCAGCACCUACGCUCAGCCAUAUUAGAACAGGCCUGUCCCAGUGCUACACACAGGAAUUAAAGAGAAGAAUGAGACCUGGGCCAUGACCUAGAGCUUUGAAGAGAAUUAGCCAGGUCCACAGGCUCCUAAGACAUCUUGGCUAAGAGGGUCCUUAAAGCUUGUUGAUUACAUCAUCGAAAUGAUGGCGAAACUGGGUUCAAGGAAGGACAGGCACAGGCCCAAGAUCAUGCAGGGGGUAGUGGCAAAUUUAGGGCUAGAAUUCAGAUCUCCAGCAGCCCAGUUUUCAAUGCCCGCUAUUACCCCUUGAUACUUUAAGUUCAGAUUUCAAAGCCCACAGCAGACUUGGGCUGUGGAGAACUCUGGGUGGCGAAGGGAAGCCGACCCGUGACUCUGGACCUGGAUGCAGCUGGCAGCACGAUAAUAAAGUGUGUGGAUUUUGGAGUCUGU